rnacentral:misc_RNA from 1 species
AUGCGAUAAGUAAUGUGAAUUGCAGAAUUCAGUGAAUCAUCGAAUCUUUGAACGCACCUUGCGCCCUCUGGUAUUCCGGAGGGCAUGCCUGUUUGAGUGUCAUGAACACCUCACCCCCUCGGGUUUCCGAUCGGGUGGAUUUGGGUGCUGCCAGUUACAUGGCUCGCCUUAAACGCAUUAGCGGUUGUUGACGUAAUAAGUUUCGUCUUGUCGACCGCUUCUAAUCUCCUUCGGGAUGUCUUUCGGGACACUUCAUGAUCUGACCUCAAAUCAGGUAGGACUACCCGCUGAACUUAA